UUCCAGCUCCAAUAGCGUAUAUUAAAGUUGUUGCGGUUAAAAAGCUCGUAGUUGAAUCUGUGUCCCACGCUGUCGGUUCACCGCCCGCGGUGUUAACUGGCACGUUUCGUGGGACGUCCUGCCGGUGGAUGGGGUUGCGUAUGUAUUAUGUGUACUAUUGUUAUUUAUAACAUAGUUUCAUGUAUGCAUGCGUCCCAUCCGACUUUUAUAAGAUUCCUGUCACGGUGCUCUUAAUUGAGUGUCGAGAUAGGCCGGCACGUUUACUUUGAACAAAUUAGAGUGCUCAAAGCAGGCUAAAUUUAACGCCUGAAUAUUGUGUGCAUGGAAUAAUAGAACAGGACCUCGGUUCUAUUUUGUUGGUUUUCGGAACCCCGAGGUAAUGAUUAAUAGGGACAGAUGG
rnacentral:rRNA from 1 species